rnacentral:rRNA from 1 species
CUGGCUCAGGACGAACGCUGGCGGCGUGCCUAAUACAUGCAAGUCGAGCGAACAGAGAAGGAGCUUGCUCCUUCGACGUUAGCGGCGGACGGGUGAGUAACACGUGGGCAACCUACCUUAUAGUUUGGGAUAACUCCGGGAAACCGGGGCUAAUACCGAAUAAUCUGUUUCACCUCAUGGUGAAAC